rnacentral:tRNA from 1 species
UGUAGCUCAGUGGUAGAGUGUGUGCUUAGCAUGCACAAAAUCCUGGGUUUAAUCCCUGGUA